rnacentral:rRNA from 1 species
CCCUUAGAGUUUGAUCCUGGCUCAGGACGAACGCUGGCGGCGCGCCUAACACAUGCAAGUCGAACGAGAGAUGAGGAGCUUGCUCUUCAGAUCGAGUGGCGAACGGGUGAGUAACGCGUGAGGAACCUGCCUCAAAGAGGGGGACAACAGUUGGAAACGACUGCUAAUACCGCAUAAGCCCACAGCUCGGCAUCGAGCAGAGGGAAAAGGAGUGAUCCGCUUUGAGAUGGCCUCGCGUCCGAUUAGCUAGUUGGUGAGGUAACGGCCCACCAAGGCGACGAUCGGUAGCCGGACUGAGAGGUUGAACGGCCACAUUGGGACUGAGACACGGCCCAGACUCCUACGGGAGGCAGCAGUGGGGAAUAUUGCACAAUGGGGGGAACCCUGAUGCAGCGACGCCGCGUGGAGGAAGAAGGUCUUCGGAUUGUAAACUCCUGUUGUUGAGGAAG